GUCAGGGUGAUGGCGUGUGCCUAUAGUCCCAGCUACUUGGGAGGCUGAGGCUGGAGGACCGCUUGAGCCCAGAAGUUCUGGGCUGUAGUGCGCUAUGCUGAUCAGGUGUCCGCACUAAGUUCAGCAUCAAUAUGGUGACCUCCCAGAAGCGGGGGACCACCAGGUUGCAAAAGGAGGGGUGAACUGGCCCAGGUUGGAAACGGAGCAGGUCAAAACUCCUGUGCUGAUCAGUAGUGGGAUCGCGCCUGUAAAGAGCCACUGCACUCCAGCCUGGGCAACAUAGCGAGACCCCAUCUCU
rnacentral:SRP_RNA from 1 species